GUGGGGAAUCUUCCGCAAUGGACGAAAGACUGACGGAGCAACGCCGCGUGAGUGAAGAAGGUUUUCGGAUCGUAAAGCUCUUUCGUUAGGGACGAACGUGCUCUUUGUGAAUAAUGAGGAGUAAUGACGGUACCUAAAUAAGAAGCCACGGCUAACUACGUGCCAGCAGCCGCGGUAAUACGUAGGUGGCAAGCGUUGUCCGGAAUUAUUGGGCGUAAAGCGCGCGCAGGCGGGAUAUCAAGUCUGUCUUAAAAGUGCGAGGCUCAACCUCGUGAGGGGACAGAAACUGGUAUUCUUGAGUGUCGGAGAGGAAAGUGGAAUUCCAAGUGUAGCGGUGAAAUGCGUAGAGAUUUGGAAGAACACCAGUGGCGAAGGCGACUUUCUGGACGAUGUCUGACGCUGAGGCGCGAAAGCUAGGGGAGCGAACGGGAUUAGAAACCCUAGUAGUCC
rnacentral:rRNA from 1 species